UCUACAGGUCAGUGUAUGUCACAGACAAGCAGGCCUCUUGUACUUCCUGUGAGUUGGUGGAAAUGACAGAGUCACGGCGGCCUACAGCAGCUCUGUCUGUGAUGGUUUAGACAGUUGCAGAGUAUUUUAGGAAGUGACGCCACCGCCCACCAUCAGGAAAUGGACUGUUUCUUUUAGUAGAUGUAAGUCAUGGGCUGAAGGCAAAUCGGUCAUGCACCACAGUCAAAUACGAAACGUAUUUUGAUCAGAAGGUAUAGACAGAGAACGUGGGUAAGUGGAAAGCCGCCGUGGGAAGGUGCAACCACUGUACGGUCCCUGAAACAAGGCACUGUUAUAAUUACAACCCUGCAGUCUUAUCACAAGAAGCAAG